rnacentral:tRNA from 1 species
GCCCGGGUGGUGGAAUUGGUAGACACGCCACUUUGAGGGGGUGGUGUCCAUACGGACGUGCAAGUUCAAGUCUUGUUCCGGGUA